rnacentral:rRNA from 1 species
UACGUAGGGGUGCAAGCGUUAAUCGGAAUUACUGGGCGGUAAAGCGUGCGUUAGACGGUCAUGUAAAGUCGGGGUGUGAAAAGCCCCCGGGCUCAACCUGGGAAUUGCAUUCGAGACUGCAUGGCUAGGGUGCGGAAGAGGGAAGCGGAAUUUCCGGUGUAGCGGUGAAAAUGCGUAGAUAUCGGGAAAGGAACACCUGUGGC